UACGUAGGGUGCAAGCGUUUAAUCGGAAUUACUGGGCGUAAAGCGUGCGCAGGCGGUUUUUGUAAGUCUGUCGUGAAAUCCCCGGGCUCAACCUGGGAAUUGCGAUGGAGACUGCAAGGCUAGAAUCUGGCAGAGGGGGGGUAGAAUUCCACGUGUAGCAGUGAAAUGCGUAGAGAUGUGGAGGAACACCGAUGGCGAAGGCAGCCCCC
rnacentral:rRNA from 1 species